UUGUCACUUGUCUCUCGUGCUUUCGUAUCUUCUGUGCAUCUCAUGUAAAGCGUCUCUUGCCUUAGCCCUCCCAGGAGCUUAUGAGAAAGACCAGGUCCUUCCGUUCAUCUCCCAUCUUUGCGUUCCUCGGCCCGACGCCGGCGAAACUUCGAUUCGGGAGCUCGGACACGCAUCAGAAUCGCAUCUGUCUUUAGAAGCAUGUGAUCGGAUGUUUUUUUAGGUCUUGUUCUCAGCUGUGUUGACAGCUAUGUGCAGCAAUGUUUCUUUACAGUGGAUAAGGACUUGUGCCGAUUCAAAGGCAGGCAGAGGCUUCCAGCCACAGGAUUCUCAGGCAUCCGUCUCUGCGGUUCUUGGAAAAUAGUUGUUCUGUUAGCAUCUUUUUCCUCCAGGGUCAUCCGAGCCCAGCAGGCUCGCCUCGGGUCCCUCCUCGGUCAUCUCGUUCAGCAUUCUCUCGGUCCUCGUGAGGACUUUUUUGUCUCAGAGUUUUCUCUCCCUGUCAUGUCCCCACGUGUCACGGGUGUCUGGGGGUAUUUGGUCCGGAGCUGCUCUGCCCUGCCGCCCAGCCCGGUUGUAGGUGUUUAAGGACAAGUCCCGGGCACUUGUAAUCGGAGACUUGUAGUACGGGCUGUGGUUGGAGUCUAGGUGGUAUUCUUACGUUGGCAGCAGGUGUCUGGAGCUGUGAAGUUACCCUGCAGCACUUUGACUCUUUUCCUAACUUUCUUUCAGAUGCAGAUAGAUUGACCUCGUGGCAGAACACCUGUCCCAGAUGAGGGAGUCCCCCUGAGAAGGAAGUAAAGCCGGAAAGCAGCGGGUAAGGCGAAGCAGGUGGAAGGCUGCCUCCUGAUGCUGUGCUGAGGCCCCUCACUGACCUGCCAAGAGACCCGGUUUGGUUCUCUGGCGUACACUGCGACGACGGCGUCCGCCUCGGAGCGUGGCCGAAGUGUGCGGCCGGAGGACCCGGGAGUUCCUAAGAGACGGUGAUGAUACUUGUCUGAGACAACAGCCCGGUGAGAGAAGAACUUCCCAGACAGCGAGGUGGCUUUGUUUGGCCCCCGACCGGCCUCUUGCUGUGACUCACAUCUUCAGCCCUCUGAGAGAUAAGUGGGGCCCGCAGAGGGGAUCAAAGCGGGGUGGCGGGUCGGGACUGAGAUCAAUUUGGGUUUUUGAGUGAGCUUUGGGGAUGGGGAAGUUCUGGAAAUGACCCCAUAGGCCCCAGUGAAGGGAAGCCUCACUUUGGUUUGCAAUGCUGAGGCGAACAGGGCAGAGCAGUCGCAGGGUGUGUUGUCACUUGUGUCUUGUGCCUUCUGUGUCUUCUGUGCAUCUCGUGUAACAUCUCUAUUGCCUUAGCCCUCCCAGGGGCUUAUGAGAAACCCCAGGGUCCUUCCGUUCAUCUCCCAUCUUUGCGUUCCUCGGCCCGGCGCAGCUUCGAUUCGGGAGGUCGGACACAUGUCAGAAUCGCAUCUGUCUUCAGAAGCACAUGAUCUUUUUAGGUCUCGUUCUUAGCUGUGUUGACAGCUAUGUGCAGCAAUGUUUCUUUACAGUGGAUAAGGACUUGUGCCGAUUCAAAGGCAGGCAGAGGCUUCCAGCCACAGGAUUCUCAGGCAUCCGUCUCUGCGGUUCUUGGAAAAUAGUUGUUCUGUUAGCAUCUUUUUCCUCCAGGGUCAUCCGAGCCCAGCAGGCUCGCCUCGGGUCCCUCCUCGGUCAUCUCGUUCAGCAUUCUCUCGGUCCUCGUGAGGACUUUCUUGUCUCAGAGAGUUUUCUCUCCCUGUCACAUCCCCUCGUCUCACGUGUCACAGGUGUCUGGGGGUAUUUGGUCCGGAGCUGCUCUGCCCUGCCGCCCAGCCCGGUUGUAGGUGUUUAAGGACAAGUCCCGGGCACUUGUAAUCGGAGAUUUGUAAUGCGGGCUGUAGUUGGAGUCUAGGUGGUAUUCUUAUGUUGGCAGCAGGUGUCUGGAGCUGUGAAGUUACCCUGCAGCACUUUGACUUUUUUCCUAACUUUCUUUCAGAUGCAGAUGGUUUGACCUCGUGGCAGAGCAGCUAUCCCAGAUGAUGGGGGUCCCCCUGAGAAGGAAGUAAAGCUGGAAAGCAGCAGAGAAGGUGAAGCAUUGCGAAGGUGGUCUACUUGCAAGAUAUCCCAGCCAAGGAUACUGGAGGACAGGAUUCGGCGUUGCCCCGAGCACGGCAAGGAGCAGAGAUGAGCAGCCUCUCGACGUCAUCGUGGAUUUUUUCGCCUGAGGAACCGGCCUUCGCAUCCACAGCUAUCGCCGCGUUCACCCGGCAGACAUCGCC